rnacentral:rRNA from 1 species
AGCAGCCGCGGUAAUUCCAGCUCCAAUAGCGUAUAUUAAAGUUGUUGCAGUUAAAAGCUCGUAGUUGAAUUUCGGGGUUAGUAGGUUGGUCAUGCCUCUGGUAUGUACUGGUCUCACUGAUUCCUCCUUCCUGAUGAGCCGUAAUGCCAUUAAUUUGGUGUUGCGGGGAAUUUGGACUGUUACUUUGAAAAAUUAGAGUGUUUAAAGCAAGCUAACGCUUGAAUACAUUAGCAUGGAAUAAUGAAAUAGGACGUUCGAUCCUAUUUUGUUGGUUUCUAGGAUUGACGUAAUGAUUAAUAGGGAUAGUUGGGGGCAUUAGUAUUCAAUUGUCAGAGGUGAAAUUCUUGGAUUUAUUGAAGACUAACUACUGCGAAAGCAUUUGCCAAGGAUGUUUUCAUUAAUCAAGAACGAAAGUUAGGGGAUCGAAGACGAUCAGAUACCGUCGUAGUCUUAACCAUAAACUAUGCCGACUAGGGAUCGGAUGAUGUUAAUUUUUAAUGACUCAUUCGGCGCCUUACGG